AUGAACGCUGGCGGCGUGGAUUAGGCAUGCAAGUCGAACGGGAACUCGUUUUUCGGAAUGGGUUCUAGUGGCGAACGGGUUAGUACAAGUUGGGUGACAUUCCCGGAAGUGGGGGAUAACGGCGAGAAAUCGUCGCUAAUACCGCAUGUGGGCGCGAGCCUAAAGCAGCAAUGCGCUUCCGGAUUGGCCCGACCCCCAUUAGCUAGUUGGUGGGGUAAUGGCCUACCAAGGCAACGAUGGGUAGCUGGCCUGAGAGGGUGGCCGGCAACACGAGGACUGAGAUACGGCCUCGACUCCUACGGGGGGCAGCAGUCUAGAGGCUUCGGCAAUGGACGAAAGUCUGACCGAGCGACGCCGCGUGCAGGAUGAAGGCCUUUGGGUCGUAAACUGCUUUCGACUGGGAAGAAGGCCCGGAUGGUGAAUCCGGGAUUGACGGUACCAGGAGAAGAAGCCCCGGCUAACUUCGU
rnacentral:rRNA from 1 species